rnacentral:rRNA from 1 species
GAUGAACGCUGGCGGCGUGCCUAAUACAUGCAAGUCGAGCGAACAGACGAGGAGCUUGCUCCUUUGACGUUAGCGGCGGACGGGUGAGUAACACGUAGGUAACCUACCUAUAAGACUGGGAUAACUUCGGGAAACCGGAGCUAAUACCGGAUAAUAUUUCGAACCGCAUGGUUCGAUAGUGAAAGAUGGCUUUGCUAUCACUUAUAGAUGGACCUGCGCCGUAUUAGCUAGUUGGUAAGGUAACGGCUUACCAAGGCAACGAUACGUAGCCGACCUGAGAGGGUGAUCGGCCACACUGGAACUGAGACACGGUCCAGACUCCUACGGGAGGCAGCAGUAGGGAAUCUUCCGCAAUGGGCGAAAGCCUGACGGAGCAACGCCGCGUGAGUGAUGAAGGUCUUCGGAUCGUAAAACUCUGUUAUUAGGGAAGAACAAACGUGUAAGUAACUGUGCACGUCUAGACGGUACCUAAUCAGAAAGCCACGGCUAACUACGUG